AACGAACGCUGGCGGCAUGCCUAACACAUGCAAGUCGAACGAGACCUUCGGGUCUUGCGGCGCACGGGUGCGUACCGCGUGGGAACUUGCCCUUAGGUACGGAAUAACUCCCCGAAAGGGGUGCUUAUACAGGAUAAUGUCUUCGGACCAAAGAUUUAUUGUCUCUGGAUGGGCCCGUGUUGGAUUAGAUUGUUGGUAGGGUAAAAGCCUAUCAAGGCGACGAUCCAUAGCUGGUCUGAGAGGAUGAUCAGCCACACUGGGACUGAGACACGGCCCAGACUCCUACGGAAGGCAGGAAUGGUGAAUGUUGGACAACGGGCGAGAGCCUGAUGCAGCAAGGCCGCGUGGGUGAUGAAGGCCUUAGGGUUGUAAAGCUCUGUUACCCGGGAUGAUAGUGACGGUACCGGAAGAAUAAGCGCCGGCUAACUCCGUG
rnacentral:rRNA from 1 species